rnacentral:rRNA from 1 species
AUUGAACGCUGGCGGCAUGCCUUACACAUGCAAGUCGAACGGUAACAGGUCUUCGGAUGCUGACGAGUGGCGAACGGGUGAGUAAUGCAUCGGAACGUGCCUAGUAGUGGGGGAUAACUACUCGAAAGAGUGGCUAAUACCGCAUGAGAUCUACGGAUGAAAGCAGGGGAUCGCAAGACCUUGUGCUACUAGAGCGGCCGAUGGCAGAUUAGGUAGUUGGUGGGAUAAAAGCUUACCAAGCCGACGAUCUGUAGCUGGUCUGAGAGGACGAUCAGCCACACUGGGACUGAGACACGGCCCAGACUCCUACGGGAGGCAGCAGUGGGGAAGUUUGGACAAUGGGCGCAAGCCUGAUCCAGCAAUGCCGCGUGCAGGAUGAAGGCCUUCGGGUUGUAAACUGCUUUUGUACGGAACGAAAAGCCCCGGGUUAAUACCCUGGGGUCAUGACGGUGCCGUAGGAAUAAGCACCGGCUAACUACGUGCCAGCCGCCGCCGUAA